rnacentral:rRNA from 8 species
UAAUGUUUGAUGUUCUAACGUGGACCCGUAAUCCGGGUUGCGGACAGUGUCUGGUGGGUAGUUUGACUGGGGCGGUCUCCUCCUAAAGAGUAACGGAGGAGCACGAAGGUUGGCUAAUCCUGGUCGGACAUCAGGAGGUUAGUGCAAUGGCAUAAGCCAGCUUGACUGCGAGCGUGACGGCGCGAGCAGGUGCGAAAGCAGGUCAUAGUGAUCCGGUGGUUCUGAAUGGAAGGGCCAUCGCUCAACGGAUAAAAGGUACUCCGGGGAUAACAGGCUGAUACCGCCCAAGAGUUCAUAUCGACGGCGGUGUUUGGCACCUCGAUGUCGGCUCAUCACAUCCUGGGGCUGAAGUAGGUCCCAAGGGUAUGGCUGUUCGCCAUUUAAAGUGGUACGCGAGCUGGGUUUAGAACGUCGUGAGACAGUUCGGUCCCUAUCUGCCGUGGGCGCUGGAGAACUGAGGGGGGCUGCUCCUAGUACGAGAGGACCGGAGUGGACGCAUCACUGGUGUUCGGGUUGUCAUGCCAAUGGCACUGCCCGGUAGCUAAAUGCGGAAGAGAUAAGUGCUGAAAGCAUCUAAGCACGAAACUUGCCCCGA